rnacentral:rRNA from 1 species
GACGAACGCUGGCGGCGUGCCUAAUACAUGCAAGUCGAACGCUUCUUUCCUCCCGAGUGCUUGCACUCAAUUGGAAAGAGGAGUGGCGGACGGGUGAGUAACACGUGGGUAACCUACCCAUCAUAGGGGGAUAACACUUGGAAACAGGUGCUAAUACCGCAUAACAGUUUAUGCCGCAUGGCAUAAGAGUGAAAGGCGCUUUCGGGUGUCGUUGAUGGAUGGAUCCGCGGUGCAUUAGCUAGUUGGUGAGGUAACGGCUCACCAAGGCCACGAUGCAUAGCCGACCUGAGAGGGUGAUCGGCCACACUGGGACUGAGACACGGCCCAGACUCCUACGGGAGGCAGCAGUAGGGAAUCUUCGGCAAUGGACGAAAGUCUGACCGAGCAACGCCGCGUGAGUGAAGAAGGUGUUCGGAUCGUAAAACUCUGUUGUUAGAGAAGAACAAGGACGUUAGUAACUGAACGUCCCCUGACGGUAUCUAACCAGAAAGCCACGGCUAACUACGUG